UACAGAGACGUCGAGCGUUGUUCGGAUUCAUUGGGCGUAAAGGGUGCGUAGGCGGUGAGGUAAGUCGGAUGUGAAAUCCCAAAGCUUAACUUUGGAAGUGCAUCCGAAACUACCUUGCUAGAGGACUGGAGGGGAAACUGGAAUUCUCGGUGUAGCGGUGAAAUGCGUAGAUAUCGAGAGGAACACCUGUGGCGAAGGCGGGUUUCUAGACAGUUCCUGACGCUGAGGCACGAAAGCCAGGGGAGCAAAC
rnacentral:rRNA from 1 species